rnacentral:rRNA from 1 species
GCUUGAAAGAUGGCUUCGGCUAUCACUUUUGGAUGGUCCCGCGGCGUAUUAGCUAGAUGGUGGGGUAACGGCUCACCAUGGCAAUGAUACGUAGCCGACCUGAGAGGGUAAUCGGCCACAUUGCUGAGACACGGCCCAAACUCCUACGGGAGGCAGCAGUAGGGAAUCUUCCACAAUGGACGAAAGUCUGAUGGAGCAACGCCGCGUGAGUGAAGAAGGGUUUCGGCUCGUAAAACUCUGUUGUUAAAGAAGAACAUAUCUGAGAGUAACUGUUCAGGUAUUGACGGUAUUUAACCAGAAAGCCACGGCUAACUACGUGCCAGCAGCCGCGGUAAUACGUAGGUGGCAAGCGUUGUCCGGAUUUAUUGGGCGUAAAGCGAGCGCAGGCGUUUUAAGUCUGAUGUGAAAGCCUUCGGCUCAACCGAAGAAGUGCAUCGGAAACUGGGAAACUUGAGUGCAGAAGAGGACAGUGGACCAUGUGUAGCGGUGAAAUGCGUAGAUAUAUGGAAGAACACCAGUGGCGAAGGCGGCUGUCUGGUCUGUAACUGACGCUGAGGCUCGAAAGUAUGGGUAGCAAACAGGAUUAGAUACCCUGGUAGUCCAUACCGUAAACGAUGAAUGCUAAGUGUUGGAGGGUUUCCGCCCUUCAGUGCUGCAGCUAACGCAUUAAGCAUUCCGCCUGGGGAGUACGGCCGCAAGGCUGAAACUCAAAGGAAUUGACGGGGGCCCGCACAAGCGGUGGAGCAUGUGGUUUAAUUC